rnacentral:sRNA from 1 species
ACUCUUCUCACGACUCUUUUUAUAAAAACCACAUGUUGAUACAUCAAUUGGGCCUCAGUGAUCAACCGGCCCAUUUCAAGGAAUAACGACCCAGCCCCGACCAUCACUUUAGAACUCGAGCCGGCCCACCAGGCCGAAGCCCGGCCUGGUCAGGAUGUGAGUUCGGCUGCGUAGAAAAGGGGCACUCUCGAGAAUUCACCUUGCGUACCCUACUAUACGGACGGGUAUAAAUAAGGAAUAGAAAGUCUCGGGAAAGGGGACUUUUUCGAGACCUGGAGAAAGGAUAGCACAAGUCAGCUCGUCGGGAGAAGUCUGCUCGUCAAGAUCAGCCAGUUCGCCCAGAAGAGCCAGCUCAUCGACACAAGUCAGCUCGUCGGGAGAAGUCUGCUCGUCAAGAUCAGCCAACUCGCCCAGAAGAGCCAGCUCAUCGACACAAGUCAGCUCGUCGGGAGAAGUCUGCUCGUCAAGAUCAGCCAGCUCGCCCAGAAGAGCCAGCUCAUCGGUACAAGUCAGCUCGUCGAGAGAAGACAUCUCGUCAAGACAAGCCAACUUAGCAAGAAGAGCCAGCUCACCAGAACCACCAGCUCGAAACGGCAUCGCCUCGUAGCGCCCUCAACUACGUUCUCAGUUCGCAAUAAGCCUUUCAGCCCGUCAAUUGCCCAGCUUCAAGUUCAGCUCGUGGAUUAGAGAUUGAUUCUUCACCUUCCCCAGAGACUCACCCGUACUUGUUUAAUUCGUGCAUUAACACCACACAU